AACGAACGCUGGCGGCAUGCCUAACACAUGCAAGUCGAACGAGACCUUCGGGACUGGGGGCGCACGGGUGCGUAACGCGUGGGAACCUGCCCUUAGGUUCGGAAUGACUCCCUGCCAGGGGUGCUAAUACCGGUUAAUGUCUUGGGACCAAAGAUUUAUCGCCUUUGGAUGGGCCCGCGUUGGUUUAGCGAGUUGGCAGGGUAAAAGCCUACAAAGGCGCCGACGCAUAGCUGGUCUGAGAGGACGGUCAGACACACUGGGACUGAGACACGUAACAGACCCCUACGGGUGGAAGCAGUGGGGAAUAUUGGACGAUGCGCGAAAGCAUGAUCCAUCCAUGCCGCGUGAGUGAUGAAGGCCUUAGGGUUGUAAAGCUGUGUUAACCGGGAUGAUAAUGACAGUACCGGGAGAAUAAGCGCCGGCUAACUCCGUG
rnacentral:rRNA from 1 species